GAAGUAACAAAUGUACCCAAAUUCUGUACUUGUGCAUUUAACCCUCUUCUCUCCCGUUUGUUUUUGUUUUUUUUUUACGUCUGUUUCGUUUGUAGUUUCAGACCAACACAAUGCAACACAUUACUCGUGUUAUCAAUAUAACAGUUGUAAUUCGCUUGCCAUGGAGUACGAGCUGGAUCUCACCCCCCCGGAUUGCAAUCUGUUUGAUGACCGAUCCGUGGGUAUAUGUUAACGUCUAUCCCCCUUCUCUUGAUCCUGCUCAUGAUUGGUGUCACAAUCUGGUUGUACUCUGGUUUCCUGUUUUAUUUUGAAAUGUUCACUCCCCCUUGUGUCAUGUCUAGUUGUACUUCCUGUCUGUGUGUUUUCUCUCCCUUUAUGAUUGUUAAUUUGUUCCUCCUGUGUCCAUUUACCCUGCCGUGUCUUUUCCUUUCUCCCCCAGCUGUGUCUUGUUCCCUCUUUGGUGUCUUUGUAUAUAUCCUGAUCCUGAUCCACGACACAGCUGAUGUCCGGAGGACGAUGAAGAAAGUUAACCUCCGGAAGGCGGCGGGCCCGGACAGUAUUCCAGGACGGCUGCUCAGGGACUGUGCCGACCAGCUGGCCCAUGUCCUCACGGACAUCUUCAACACCUUGCUGUACCAGGCUAUUGUUCCAUCAUGUUUCAAGUCAGCAGCUAUUGUUCCAGUGCCUAAAAAAUCCCCAAUCACUUGUCUGAAUGAUUACCGGCUGGUAGCACUCACCCCCAUCAUGAUGAAGUGCUUUGAGAGGCUGGUCAAGGAGCAUAUCAUCUCCAUACUUCAUCCCAAUCUCGACCAGUUCCAGUUUGCUUACCGCCCAAACCGCUCCACAGAGGACGCCAUCUCCUCUGCACUCCACCUGAGCCUGGCCCACCUGGAGGAGAAGAACACCCAUGUGCGAAUGCUGUUCCUGGAUUUCAGCUCGGCAUUCAACACAAUCAUCCCCCAGCAUCUGGUAAGCAAACAGCACUGUCACACACCACUCCUCCUCAACGGCACAGCAGUGAAGACUACAGACGGCACAAAAUUCUUGGGGGUGCAACUCACAAAUAGUCUGACCUGGUCCCUUCACACCUCCUCACUGGUGAAAAAGGCACAGCAGCGCCUGCACUUUCUGCGCAGGUUGAAAAGAGCACAGCUCCCCCCUCCCAUCCUCACCACCUUCUACAGAGGCACCAUAGAGAGCAUACUGACCAGUUGCAUCUCUACCUGGUCUGGAAACUGC
rnacentral:lncRNA from 1 species